GAUGCCCUAAUCAUCCUUUUCGUCCUCUUUCUUUUCUCUUCUCUUUCUUUUCUACUUUCACAGCCGCCUCUCUUCACCUUUUUCUUUUCUCUUCAUCAAAUCAUCAAUUUCGUUCCCAUUCACUUCUUCUCUUCAUCAAAUCAUCCUUUUUCUCUUCAAUUCUUCUCUUCAUCAAAUCAUCGUCGUCACUCCUCAUCGCUUCGCUUUUGCAUUCAUCAUCAUCACCAGCCUUCAUUUGGCCGUCGUUUCUCCAUUGCGAUCUCUGUUUUGGCUGCCGUUCAUCCGCCUUUUGCGAAUUGCGUUGGCGGCUGUGACGUGUUCAUCAUCAUCAUAUCAUCAGCCACCGAUGUUCAUUACUUCGCCGGACACCGAUUGUUGAAGUUUAUGAACCAAAUCCGUGAAUCACGAUUUUGAGUUGUAGACAUGGAUUUGUAUUUUG
rnacentral:lncRNA from 1 species